rnacentral:lncRNA from 1 species
AGUGGGGUUAUAUGAGUAGUUAGUGAAUAGUAUUUUAUGGAGGUUGUUGUUCUGUUAUAUGAGUAGUUAUACACGUUAGGUGUUUGUUGUAAUGCAUCUUAGAGUUCUCUCAUUCCAGAAUUAAUGAAAGCUUAGUUUGUGUUGUUGCUGUCCACUUUCUACUUUCUUCUCUUGCAAUUUUUUGUGUGUUGCAAUUCCAAUAAA